UGGCGGCGUGCCUAAUACAUGCAAGUCGAGCGAAGAGAUGGGAGCUUGCUCCCUGAUCUUAGCGGCGGACGGGUGAGUAACACGUGGGCAACCUGCCCUGCAGACUGGGAUAACUCCGGGAAACCGGAGCUAAUACCGGGUAAUACAUCGCACCGCAUGGUGCAAUGUUGAAAGUUGGCUUUCUGAGCUAACACUGCAGGAUGGGCCCGCGGCGCAUUAGCUAGUUGGUAAGGUAAUGGCUUACCAAGGCGACGAUGCGUAGCCGACCUGAGAGGGUGAUCGGCCACACUGGGACUGAGACACGGCCCAGACUCCUACGGGAGGCAGCAGUAGGGAAUCUUCCGCAAUGGACGAAAGUCUGACGGAGCAACGCCGCGUGAGUGACGAAGGCCUUCGGGUCGUAAAGCUCUGUUGUUAGGGAAGAACAAGUACCGUUCGAAUAGGGCGGUACCUUGACGGUACCUAACCAGAAAGCCACGGCUAACUA
rnacentral:rRNA from 1 species